AUAUAUCAACCUUCUCUUGUUGAGUGGUUUGGAUGUGGGGGGUUUGCUGGCCUCUUAAAAGGUUUCAGCUCCCCUGAAAUGCAUUAGCAGAAACAACCCUGUUCAUUGGUGUGAUAACUAUCUACGCUAUUGAAUGUGAAGGGGCAGUUUGGCUUUCCAACGGUCCUUGGACAUCAUCAUUA
rnacentral:misc_RNA from 1 species